rnacentral:rRNA from 1 species
GACGAACGCUGGCGGCGUGCUUAACACAUGCAAGUCGAGCGGAAAGGCCCUUUCGGGGGUACUCGAGCGGCGAACGGGUGAGUAACACGUGAGUAAUCUGCCUCUGGCUUUGGGAUAGCUUCGGGAAACCGAAAUUAAUACCGGAUAUGACACGGUUUCGCAUGAGAUCCGUGUGGAAAGUUUUUCGGCCAGGGAUGUGCUCGCGGCCUAUCAGCUUGUUGGUGGGGUAAUGGCCUACCAAGGCUUCGACGGGUAGCGGGUCUGAGAGGAUGAUCCGCCACACUGGGACUGAGACACGGCCCAGACUCCUACGGGAGGCAGCAGUGGGGAAUUUUGGACAAUGGGGGCAACCCUGAUCCAGCCAUGCCGCGUGAGUGAAGGAGGCCUUCGGGUUGUAAAGCUCUUUCGGCCGGGAAGAAAUCGCACAGGCUAAUACCCUGUGUGGAUGACGGUACCGGCAUAAGAAGCACCGGCUAACUACGUGCCAGCCGCCGCAGUAACAC